UGUAAGAUCAGGAUCACAUGUGUCUGUGAAGAGUGACCGGUCAAAGAAUGGUGGCCUGCCAAACUUCAGUGAGAAAAAAACAUCAGUCAAAAGGUAUUUAUUAUCUUUGACAUUAUAAUUUUGUGUUGGCUUAUUUCUCCACUAAGAUGCUUGUGAUAUAAAUGAAUGAAAUAAAACAAUAAACCACUGAUUUCCUCUUUAUUGAACUCAGUCUGGAGCUUCUUUCCAGUAACACAAUCACACAAGCAGCCACAAGGAGGUAUAAAUUAAGCAUGGAAAAUAGAUCAUGCAGACAAUGGAAAAUAGAUCAUGCAGACAAACAUGAAUAUGUCUUUCCAUCUAUCCAUAGUCAUAGAUGGACAAAUGCAUGUCUAUACUGUGCUUCAUUACCAUCCUCAACAGUGAAGCUCUUUAAAUGAGACUGAAGGAGCUCCUGAAGUAAAGUGUUUUGUUAUUUGUGUCAUUAGUGUAAGAUCAGGAUCACAUGUGUCCAGCUCUGUGUCUGUGAAGAGUGACCAGUCAAAGGAAGAACCACUGAAAUUCAGUGAAGAAACAGCAUCACGAACCAAACGGUAUUUGAUCUGUUUCUUAUUUUUGUUUAAACACAGACUGUGUCAGUGAAUAAUUAUCAUAAAACUUAUAGUCCACAAAUGUAUCAUUUAUUUAUUUAUUGUUUUUCUCUUUGCUAAAAUGGUUACAAAAUGUGGUCAUAUUUCUUUUCCUAAAAAUGCAGUAUUUUGAUUUAUUUUAUUUACUAUCAGGUUUCAGUAUGAAACAUCAGAUCCAGAUUUACAGCCUCACAGGAACCACAAGAAUUUUACAGACAGUCUCCUGCAGAUCUUCCAGGAUCUUGAGAGCAAAAUGAUCACUUUUCUAAAGAAAGAAUUGGAAAAGUUUAAGAAAAUAUUACAAAAAGAGAACUUGCAGUACUUUGUGAAGGACUUUAAUGAGAACAGAUGCAGUAUGAAAGAAGCAGCUCUUGAUCUCACGCUCUACUUCCUGAGAGAGAUGAAGCAAGAUGAAGCUGCUGAUACUCUAGAAGAUGAGCUGUUCUUCAUUCAUCAGCUAAAGUGUAGCCUAAAGAAGAAGUAUCAAUGUGUGUUUGAAGGAAUUGCAAAGCAAGGUGACUCUACACUUCUGAAAAUCUAGUAAUUAUGUUUGAAAUUUUGAUUUCAUUCAUGAUAAUUAUAGAUUAGGUUUUUUUUUUUUUAUUUUAUAAAUUAUGUUCAGUUCCU
rnacentral:lncRNA from 1 species